rnacentral:lncRNA from 1 species
UGUGAAGGGAAGAGGAGAGCUGGGGCCACAGCCAGAGCAAACAGGGAUGGCUGGUGAAGGAUGGUCUUUUGAAAGGACUCAGGAAGGUCCUAGCCCUGAGGCUUAUGCUCAUUUUGUUUAUCCUGUUUAUCCCGCGUUGGAGGAAGGCUGUGAGCAGCUGGAAUACAUCUGGAGAUCUUUUUGGUUUUUCCUCCCCGUGUGUGAAUGACUCCUUCACUUUACUUACCACCUCUCUGCAAACCUUGGUCCCCAUCAAUGACUCAGUAGUCUACAGGGGACUUUUCUAGUCCUUAUUUUAGUCACAUACAUCACUAAGAUCUCAUGGAGACAGAUUUAUCUUACAUCUAUUCACAAAAUUACACAUUCUAUCUGUCUAUCAAUCGAUCUAUCCGUCCUUCCAUCUAUCAUCUAUCUAUCCAUCCACCCAUCCAUUCAUCCAUCCAUCUAUUAUCUAUCUAUCUAUCUAUCUAUCUAUCUAUCUAUCUAUCUAUCUAUCUAUCAUCUAUCUUUCACACACAUCCAUCCUUAUGGCUGCUUUACAUAUUAUCUCUAGAUCCUUCUCUAUCUCAGCCUUAUGCAGUCAUCAGGAAGAACCUUCUAGAAGCUCUCUAGAACAGGGAGGGUAUGCUACAGGAAUGUUCUCCCAUUCAAUACUCUUUAUACUCAUGUCUCUUUAUACUCAUGUCUCUUUAUACUCACUCUGUCAUAUUUAUGGUCAUCUAAGUGCCCACGCGCCACUAAACUGCCUUGUUCUCCAAUUACUUCUUGCCCAUAAAUCUUCUCACCCUGGUUAUAAGUUCUUCUGGAGGUCUGCACUGCACGUUGUCUUGCGUCCACCAUAGCUGGUUCCUCCAUGGAGAGGUACCCUAUUACUCUUGGGACCAUGAAGAAGCCAACAGCUUGUAGACCUACAGAGGAUCCAUCAUCACCAAGCCUGUAGCUCUACUUGUCCUAUCCAAAUGAGACAGCUUGGUGCAUUGGAAAGGAGAGACAAAUGGAAACUUACCC